CAGGUGGUUGCUUACGGCUGUUGGCGUCUGUCUCCCAGGAAAUGCAACGAUCUCGCUCACAAAGUUAGCCACGAUUUUAUGUGAUGCUCGGCGAACCAGUAAGGGAAAAGUGCAGUGUCACUCUCCACAAAUGUUCUAAUGAGAAAUGCCAGAAACUCUUCUUUUUCUCACAUGAUGAACUCUCACAGAUUUUUUGUGUGUUAUUUGGAACUUGCAAGGGAUGUUGGUUAUUUAUAGGAUUUUCAUGGCUGAUUGAAAAGCCACGCAUUUAGUUUCUUCAAUUGAAGCCAAUUGUAACAGGAGCCACUAUCAUAAGACCAUAAUAACUCCUCUAUUCUUAUUGGUGAUCAAAUGGAGUGUUAUCAAAGAUGAAAUGGUCUUGACCUUUACAGUGAAUAGGAAUAAAGAUGGAGGUUAAGUACUGUAUAAAAAAUUACUUGGGGUUUAUGUUGUUAAUAGAAAUACAGAAGUUUAUUCUGUAAUUAAAACUACAAGAUUAAAAAGUAAUUAACCAAGUAUCAGUAGCACCCUCCAUCGCACCCAGCGGAACGUGCCAAGUGCGUCCAUUAAUAGCGCCACAAAGCGCCGCAUUGUGCCCAUCGUCCCACGCGCACGCGCGAAGCGGAACGGUACUCGCGGAAUUUGCGGCGCAGACGCGCUGGCAUGGGAAGCUAGAUACACUAGUGACUCACUUUGUAUCCAUAGCCUCCUUUGGUUGCUCAAGUACUUAUUUGCUCAAUUAGCUUGAGGUAUAUUAACCCUUUAAAAUAUUCCUAUUGAUCCGAUGUGGAGACUUCCCACAUUUUCCAUAUCCAAUGGUACAACUUCGGUAAACAUUUUCUCAUUCACUUUUAUCCGUUUUGAACAAAUUUAAAUAUUAUACGGUUAUUACUCGCGAAGGAGAAUCCAUUUCACACGUGAUUUAAUACUUUCAUAAUCGCCGACCCCAACAUAAAAUUUAGGUCAAACUCAGCUCAAACUUAACUUUUUCCAACAACCCCCACAUGAAUGAAAAAUUGUUCUGUUUUCAUGCACCAGAAACAGGAUGUCCUAAGUGAGUAGGGAGUGAACUUAAGGAAUUCCAUGUAUAGAGAUAGGUAGCUUUUGGCCUUGAAUCUAAACUUGUGAAAACUAUCGAGCAUACGAGCUAUCAGUAAAUAUGAAUGCUUGAAUGUUCAGCUAUUGUGUAAGACCAAAAACAAUAAUUAUCACCCAUCUGAGUUGUUCCCACAAACACAAACUGGUUACUAUAUGGUUGGCCCAUUUUGGCUCUGGGCAUCUGCCUUGGUACUUUCAUGAGUGCUUUUUAGAGAAUGACUCCUAUUAUUCUACAUAGAAGCGGCACCGUUUCACACCCAUAUAGGUGAUUUCUCAUAAGGAUACCCUGCACUAUCCUAUCAGAAUUAUUCAAAAAUUAUGAGAAUCAUUAAAAGCAUAGCUUAGCCUCAAACCUGAUACAGGUAUCAUGAGUUAUCAUAGAAGUGGUAGGAAAAAUUAACUAUUCCACAGUUUGUUUGCCACUAGCACUCUACUAAGAAUUACACAACUUGGUGACCAGAUUGCACCUAAUAUCUUGGGAUCUCCAGUAUCAAUAGGUUGGUUCAAGUGAGGGACUUUUAAAUAAUAGACUUUAAUCCCAUCCAUCGAAAUCGAUAAAACUGCUCCUUAGUCAAUCGCAUUUAGUCAACGGAUCAGGACUAUAUUAAUUUUUGACUUUAUAUACUCAAUAGAUAUAAUUCCACAAGGAAAGCAGAGUGUUUAACGGUAUUGAGUCUUCGCGUAUAUGUCUAGCCUACCGUUUAUACAUUGUUAUUGUUUGCUCUUCCAAUGCCGAUGACUAUCGCAAUGGAUGCCUAUUGCCAGAAUAGAAACUGGCUUAGGCCACACAAGGAUAUCUCUAAGAAGGAGUGAACGAAAGCACGUUCGAGCCUCUGUCUCAGUUUAUCUAAAGCAAUAAAAUCUGGAUUCACAUCGUGGACUUGGAAGACAGAUGUUUGCUUGGAUGACUUCCAUCAGACAACAGACAUGCAACCAGCCAACUGUAAAGACAUAUCCACUCGUGGAUUUAGAAUCUUUACUAGCAGAUAUCCCCAAUUUGCAUCACGUACCCCUUCUAGUACUGCUGGAUAUCUUGGUGCUAGUGUAGACCACGUAAUUUUGGGUAAUCUUUGGAAGUAUCUUAAAGAACAUCGAAUUAUAGCUUGCCAAUGAUCAACACAUCUUGGUGUUGUUGUAGGAGUUUAUACAGCUACUGCAGUCCUUAAUUACCGAAGAGCUAUAUCUGACCUUGUGCAAUUCAUAAGAUACAUCAAAACUCCCAAUGAUAUCGGAAAAUACUCAGUAAUUGAGAAUACCUUCACACAUAUAUUCUUUUCCAAAUGAUGGUUGAGAUCAAGUAGUAUUCUUGCCACACUAUUAUCACAUUCUGGCUGACCUUUUCAAGGAUAUUUUAUCAUCACAUAGUGUGAAUGCUUGUGACAAGGAUAUCCAUCAAGAUGUCCUAUUGAUUUUUAUGUCCUAAAUCAAGACUCUGCUAUUACCCCAUAUCCUCAUGUCAAACUAGAGUUUAACAUUUUUUGGGAGUUUUAAUCAUUAUCAUUAUUCUACCAACGAUGAGCAUGUCAAUCGAAAUACAGACAAAUAAUGACAUAUCCUUUUCAGUGUCUUAACAUAGGACCCCAUUAUCACAUUCAUUGAUUGAAUAUGAAUUAUGACCAACAUUAUAGUAUCAAAUUUCUCAUGCCAUUGUUUGGUUGCUUGCUUAAGUCCGUAUAAAGACAUUAACAAGUUAACACUUUAUUUCGUGGCCUGGGAACCACAAAACCCAUUCAGGAUUUGUUCCAUAUAGAUUUCUUCAUCUCAUCACCAUUGAGUAAUACUAGUCUGAAGCAUCCAUCUGAUGUAUCUCUAGAUCAUAUAACACUGCAUAAUAGCAAUGAUCAUUAUAAUGGAUGUUAUUCUCGUGCAGGAGAAUUAAGUAUCGAAGUAAUCAAUUCCUUCGGUUUGCCUAUAUGUCGGUUUUUGUUAAUACAAGCCUUGCCUGGUAGUUUCAAUUGAACCAUCUGCUUUCAUCUUUGUUUAAAAUAUCCACUUAAUCCAGUGGAGUGUACAACCUGCCGGUUGGAAGAUUCACCAAUUUCUCAUGUAUGAUUUUGCAGUGGAUUCAACCUCACUAUAAUAGCUUCCUUCCAUAAGGAGCUUACGGGAGGACACCUAGCUCCCUAAAAGGUUGGGGUUCAUUUCAACAAGUAAGUUAGAAAAUCAUGGGUCCAAAAGAUUUGGAGUUCUAGCCUUUUGUAAGCUAGGUUUCAAACCUCCUCUCCUCGUCUUGAUCAAAUUCGAUUUUGAUCUGGUCACUGCCUAUAGCAAUGUCAUACUUCCUCUUCGAAGUAUUCAACUCUUGUGUAGAGUAUAUGGGACGAGCAUCCUCAAAGGAAAAUAUGCAGUCCUAGAUUCAUUAAUCGUAUUGACAUAAAUAUCAGGAUUUUACUCUUAUGCACUAGGAACGAUAGCACUGCUAUGGUUUGCAUAUCCUAUGCAUACACAAUCAAUAGUUUCUCGAUUCCUAUUGUUACCCUUCGGGUAAAGGAAUGCAAACUUAGCCAAACACCCCCACAUUUCAAAUUAGUUGCUAAGAAGGUCAGGACUUUCCACAACUCAUAUGGUGCUUUAUGGUUUUCUUAUGAGGCGACUUUUUAAGUAUGUAAUUUGCAGAAAAGUAUUGCUCCCCCCCCAAAUUUGGGGUAAAACCGACGCUCAACAUGGCAUUCAUCAUUCUUUAAAGUAUAUCUUCGGUAUGCAACAAUUUUGUUGUGGUGGUGAAUAGGGUGUAGUAGUUUGGUGAAUUAUUCAUGUGAGAACAGAACUCACCAAAAGGUGAUUUCAUAUCACCACCCCUAUCAUUAUGAGAACUUUAUAUUUUUUUUUAAGUUGAUUUUCAACUUCAGUUUUAUUACUGCAUCAAACUUGUUAAUGCAUCAUCUUACUUCGUAGAAAGUACAAUACAAUACCUUGUACUGUCAUCUAUAAAAGUGAUAAAAUUAUUUUUUUUUUACAUCUCGUGUUGAACAAAUUUCAAAUCACAAAUAUCACUAUGAAAUUAAAUUCAAGAGGUCAGUACUCUUUCACAGAUUGAAAAGGUAUUUUUGUUUUAAUUUGGCCCCAACACAUACUUCACAUUUGUGCGUAUUUUUUAAUAUUAAAGGUUUGAUAAAAAGUAUUCCAUGUAACAUAAUUACGAAAUAGAAUCAAAAUUAACAUGUCCCCAUCUUACAUGCCAAAUCUCAGAAGACUCAAUCAAGGUAAGAAGAAGAAGAUUCUAGCAUUCUAUUAACGUAUUAACUUUGGGAUUAUAGGAGUACAUUCAUUUGAAUAUCCAUCAAGCUAAGGGUACCCCUUUCCCACCUAAAACCCAUCCAUAGUCAGAAUAAACUUAUUGAACAGCAAAAUCCAGCUUAAAUCCCGAUGUUGCACAUAGCGAUCCGUGAAAUAAAGAUUCUGCGGAUCUCCGACCAUUGGAGCACAAACGUUAUUCUAGCGUUAGUUUCACUUCCAGAGGUCAUUUUCAGCACAACCUUCCCUUACCCUUCAACCUUGGAAAUUGCAGAAUUCCAUGAAAAUUGCUAACCAUUGGUGCACAACCUGAUAGGUGGUUGGAACAUCUCUUUAUUAGAGCUAUUACUGACGGGUAGGCCCCCGGCACCCACCACUCUUUGGCGUUGAGCCCCGAUCAGGUUCACCUCUGUCACAACCGCACACAGGUUGCAUAUCAUUUACUCCAUGGAGAUAUUCUCCACAGGUCCAUGUUGGCUGAGCAUGCUUGUGCUUUUUGAGCCACUUCCUGGAUUCUUUCGGAUACGAAGUCUGGCUUGAUGUUCCAAUCUUGUCGCAGAUGUAAAACACUUGCCCAGUUGAAUUUUUGAAGUUGCCUUUAGCUUCACUCAAGAUUCUGAAGAAAUUUCUUUAUUUUUGUCUUCGGAGCUGUGACCCUUUGGAGCUCU
rnacentral:lncRNA from 1 species